GAUGAACGCUGGCGGCGUGCCUAAUACAUGCAAGUCGAGCGAACGGACGAGAAGCUUGCUUCUCUGAUGUUAGCGGCGGACGGGUGAGUAACACGUGGAUAACCUACCUAUAAGACUGGGAUAACUUCGGGAAACCGGAGCUAAUACCGGAUGAUAUUUUGAACCGCAUGGUUCAAAAGUGAAAGACGGUCUUGCUGUCACUUAUAGAUGGAUCCGGGCUGCAUUAGCUAGUUGGUAAGGUAACGGCUUACCAAGGCAACGAUGCAUAGCCGACGUGAGAGGGUGAUCGGCCACACUGGAACUGAGACACGGUCCAGGGUACUGCGGGAGGCAGCAGUAGGGAAUCUUCCGCAAUGGGCGGAAGCCUGACGGAGCGACGCCGCGUGAGUGAUGAAGGUCUUCGGAUCGUAAAACUCUGUUAUUAGGGAAGAACAUAUGUGUAAGUAACUGUGCACAGCUUGACGGUACCUAGUCAGAAAGCAACGGCUAACUACGUG
rnacentral:rRNA from 1 species